rnacentral:lncRNA from 1 species
UGUGCAGGUGGAACUCACCUGGUGUGAUCUUCACCAUCUAAAAAAGGGUGUUUGGGGGGUUUUUCCUCAAUUCUGACAUUCUGGUUCCACUGGGGGUGAAUCUCUUUUUUUAUUCCUGAUCUGGGCUGUUCUGUGCCAGCUAGAACUGCCUGAGGUUUAGGUCACAUUGACCUCAAGGCAAAAUCUCCCUGAGUCAGGGAAUUCUUCAUGGAUUGCACUUAACAUCUUCCCUUUCAUAGAAAUUGGGGGGGUUUAUCCUCAGUUUUGUGGUUCUGGUUCCACUGGGGGUGAAUCUCUUUUUUAUUCCUGCUCUGGGCUGUUCUCCCCCAGGAAGAGCUGCCUGAGCUUAGGUCACACUGACCUCGAGGCAAAAUCUCCCUGUGUCAGGGAAUUCCUCCCCUUUCAUGGGAAUUGGGGGGUUUAGCAUCAGUUUUGAGGUCCUGGUUCCACUGGGGGUGAAUCUCUUUUUUUAUUCCUGUUCUGGGCUGUUCUCUGCCAGCUAGAACUGCCUGAGGUUCAGGUCACACUGACCUCAAGGCAAAAUCUCCCUGAGUCAGGGAAUUCCUCAUGGAUUGCACUUAACAUCUUCCCUUUCACAGGAAUUGUGGGGGUUUAUCCUCAGUUUUGAGGUCCUGGUUCCACUGAGGGUGAAUCUCCUUUUUUAUUCCUGUUCUGGGUUGUUCUCCCCCAGGAAGAGCUGCCUGAGCUUCAGGUCACACUGACCCCUGUGUCAGGGAAUUCCUCCUCUUGGAUUGCACUUAACAUCUCCCCUUUCACAGGAAUCGAGGGCGU